CAGAUCUUAAGGAAGAAAGGAAAUUUCUGGGUCAUGGGCCUAUAGGUGUUCACUGACAUGUUGCCCACCAAGGUGGCUUUUCCAGUUUAGAUUUCAACCAAUGAUCAGAACAUGUCUCGUGGAAGGAUUACCUGAGGAAAGGAGAUCUUCCCUCAGAGUAGAGAGCCCUUCUGGUGGCAGCCUAUAUAUGAAGAUGUUUCAGGGGCGAAAAACAGGAAUACAUCUUUGCCUGGCUGCCUUUGCCACUUGCUGACAGUGCAUCUACCCCAUUGCUGCCAUCGGUCACUGACAUUAGCACCCAGCCUUUUUAGCUUUCCAAUACAGACUGAAGACCAGUAACUCCAGGAAUCCUCCAGAUGUGCUGUGCCAGAUUAGAACCUAGGCAUCCAGCCUCAUGGACUGAGCAGCUACUGGGUUCUCAGCCUCUCCAUUCUGCAGACUGUCAUUGUCAGACUAUCCAGCCAGGAUUGUGUAAACCAGUCUAAUAAAACCUUUUUAUAAUAUA